AAUUUGUAAGAUUGUAAACAAACAAGAGUGUAAAAUUAAAUAAUUUCUAAGCAUAGUAUUCAGCAGGGUUUUAGCUAAAUGUGUACUGGAGGUUGUGUGUAUAAAUGCGGCAUUUGUUGUUUGAUGCUCAGUAUUUGGGCAAUUGUACAAUUGAGUUUAAUGGGAAUAUUUUACAAAAUCGAAGCGACCCCCAUGAUAAAGGACGUCGCAGUGAAAGACUAUACAGACUACGACGAUUUUAUAAAGAAGACGAAGGAAAAUUAUAAAAAUAGCGCACUAAACUGCUGGGUCGGCGCGGGAGUUUACGCUGUCAUGGCCGCUAUAUCUGUCGUCUGCAUCAUAGGCGGCGGGAAGAAGGUGAAGCAAGCAAUGGCGGCGUUCGACGACGACGAAAUAUUCUGCGCACCGCCCGAGGUCGAGCCGGGCCAGCAGAAGAAAGGGAAGAAAUAGAUUGUUUAGUAUUUAUUUAUUGUUAGUCAAUAAAGAUAUUGUUCUUACGAUGAUGUUGUGCUUGCUGAAACGAUUGAUCCGAGCUGGA